rnacentral:rRNA from 1 species
CCUACGGGGGGCUGCAGUGGGGAAUAUUGGACAAUGGGGGCAACCCUGAUCUAGCCAUGCCGCGUGUGUGAAGAAGGCCCUCGGGUUGUAAAGCACUUUCAGUGAGGAAGAACGCCUGGUGGUUAAUACCCAUCAGGAAAGACAUCACUCACAGAAGAAGCACCGGCUAACUCCGUGCCAGCAGCCGCGGUAAUACGGAGGGUGCGAGCGUUAAUCGGAAUUACUGGGCGUAAAGCGCGCGUAGGUGGCUUGAUAAGCCGGUUGUGAAAGCCCCGGGCUCAACCUGGGAACGGCAUCCGGAACUGUCAAGCUAGAGUGCAGGAGAGGAAGGUAGAAUUCCCGGUGUAGCGGUGAAAUGCGUAGAGAUCGGGAGGAAUACCAGUGGCGAAGGCGGCCUUCUGGACUGACACUGACACUGAGGUGCGAAAGCGUGGGUAGCAAACAGGAUUAGAUACCCGGGUAGUC